GACGAACGCUGGCGGCGUGCCUAAUACAUGCAAGUAGAACGCUGAAGCUUGGUGCUUGCACCGAGCGGAUGAGUUGCGAACGGGUGAGUAACGCGUAGGUAACCUGCCUGGUAGCGGGGGAUAACUAUUGGAAACGAUAGCUAAUACCGCAUAAGAGUAGAUGUUGCAUGACAUUUGCUUAAAAGGUGCAAUUGCAUCACUACCAGAUGGACCUGCGUUGUAUUAGCUAGUUGGUGAGGUAACGGCUCACCAAGGCAACGAUACAUAGCCGACCUGAGAGGGUUAUCGGCCACACUGGGACUGAGGCACGGCCCAGACUCCUACGGGAGGCAGCAGUAGGGAAUCUUCGGCAAUGGACGGAAGUCUGACCGAGCAACGCCGCGUGAGUGAAGAAGGUUUUCGGAUCGUAAAGCUCUGUUGUAAGAGAAGAACGAGUGUGAGAGUGGAAAGUUCACACUGUGACGGUAUCUUACCAGAAAGGGACGGCUAACUACGUG
rnacentral:rRNA from 1 species